UAUGUGAUCGUCUCUCGCAUAUCAAUAAGCGGAGGAAAAGAAACUAACAAGGAUUCCCCUAGUAACGGCGAGUGAAGCGGGAAGAGCUCAAAUUUGAAAUCUUAAAGGGUUUCCCUUUACGAAUUGUAGUUUAAAGAAGUGUUUUCUGUUGAGGUUUUGGUAAAAGUUCUUUGGAAUAGGACAUCAUAGAGGGUGAGAAUCCCGUAUUUGACCUUUACUUUCAACUUUGUGAUACACUUUCAAAGAGUCGGAUUGUUUGGGAAUGCAGUCCAAAAUGGGUGGUAAAUUUCAUCUAAAGCUAAAUAUUGGCGAGAGACCGAUAGCGAACAAGUACCGUGAGGGAAAAAUGAAAAGAACUUUGAAAAGAGAGUUAAACAGUACGUGAAAUUGUCAAAAGGGAAGCGUUUGACACCAGUGUUGUUUUUCUGAAAAUCAAUUAAAGAACUGUUUAUGCUAAGUUGUUUAGACUUUAUCAGCUAACUGUUUAGUUUUGAGCUUUUCUUUAAUGCACUUUUCAGUUAACAAGUCAACAUCAAUUUCUUUUGCUGUAAAAAAGCUUGAGGAAGGUGGCUUGAGAUUCGUCUUAAGUGUUUAUAGCCUCUUGCCUAUGCAGUCGGAGAGAUUGAGGUCUGCAGCGUAGAUCCUUCGGGGCUAAAUGCAUUUGUGCUAAGUUAUAGCAUUUUAUAGACAACUUGUUGACUAUGAUUUGUCUUGUAGCUUACUCGCUUAUGUUAUUUUACCUACGCUUAGGAUGUUGAUCUCUCACAGUCGAGC
rnacentral:rRNA from 1 species